GAUGAACGCUGGCGGCGUGCCUAAUACAUGCAAGUCGAGCGAACGGACGAGAAGCUUGCUUCUCUGAUGUUAGCGGCGGACGGGUGAGUAACACGUGGAUAACCUACCUAUAAGACUGGGAUAACUUCGGGAAACCGUAGCUAAUACCGGAUAAUAUUUUGAACCGCAUGGUUCACAAGUGAAAGACGGUCUUGCUGUCACUUAUAGAUGGAUCCGCGCUGCAUUAGCUAGUUGGUAAGGUAACGGCUUACCAAGGCAACGAUGCAUAGCCGACCUGAGAGGGUGAUCGGCCACACUGGAACUGAGACACGGUCCAGACUCCUACGGGAGGCAGCAGUAGGGAAUCUUCCGCAAAGGGCGAAAGCCUGACGGAGCAACGCCGCGUGAGUGAUGAAGGUCUUCGGAUCGUAAAACUCUGUUAUUAGGGAAGAACAUAUGUGUAAGUAACUGUGCACAUCUUGACGGUACCUAAUCAGAAAGCCACGGCUAACUACGUG
rnacentral:rRNA from 1 species